CCUACGGGCGGCAGCAGUAGGGAAUCUUCCACAAUGGGCGAAAGCCUGAUGGAGCAACGCCGCGUGGGUGAAGAAGGUCUUCGGAUCGUAAAACCCUGUUGUUAGAGAAGAAAGUGCGUGAGAGUAACUGUUCACGUUUCGACGGUAUCUAACCAGAAAGCCACGGCUAACUACGUGCCAGCAGCCGCGGUAAUACGUAGGUGGCAAGCGUUAUCCAGAUUUGUUGGGCGUAAAGGGAACGCAGGCGGUCUUUUAAGUCUGAUGUGAAAGCCUUCGGCUUAACCGGAGUAGUGCAUUGGAAACUGGGAGACUUGAGUGCAGAAGAGGAGAGUGGAACUCCAUGUGUAGCGGUGAAAUGCGUAGAUAUAUGGAAGAACACCAGUGGCGAAAGCGGCUCUCUGGUCUGUAACUGACGCUGAGGUUCGAAAGCGUGGGUAGCAAACAGGAUUAGAUACCCCAGUAGUC
rnacentral:rRNA from 1 species